rnacentral:rRNA from 1 species
UACGUAGGUGGCAAGCGUUAUCCGGAAUUAUUGGGCGUAAAGCGCGCGCAGGCGGUUUUUUAAGUCUGAUGUGAAAGCCCACGGCUCAACCGUGGAGGGUCAUUGGAAACUGGGGAACUUGAGUGCAGAAGAGAAAAGCGGAAUUCCACGUGUAGCGGUGAAAUGCGUAGAGAUGUGGAGGAACACCAGUGGCGAAGGCGGCUUUUUGGUCUGUAACUGACGCUGAGGCGCGAAAAGCGUGGGGGAGCAAACAGG